rnacentral:rRNA from 1 species
GCACAAGCGGUGGAGCAUGUGGUUAAUUCGAAGCAACGCGAAGAACCUUACCAGGUCUUGACAUCCCGAUGCUAUUUCUAGAGAUAGAAAGUUACUUCGGUACAUCGGUGACAGGUGGUGCAUGGUUGUCGUCAGCUCGUGUCGUGAGAUGUUGGGUUAAGUCCCGCAACGAGCGCAACCCCUAUUGUUAGUUGCCAUCGUUCAGUUGGGCACUCUAGCGAGACUGCCGGUAAUAAACCGGAGGAAGGUGGGGAUGACGUCAAAUCAUCAUGCCCCUUAUGACCUGGGCUACACACGUGCUACAAUGGUUGGUACAACGAGUUGCGAGUCGGUGACGGCGAGCUAAUCUCUUAAAGCCAAUCUCAGUUCGGAUUGUAGGCUGCAACUCGCCUACAUGAAGUCGGAAUCGCUAGUAAUCGCGGAUCAGCACGCCGCGGUGAAUACGUUCCCGGGCCUU